UGAAACAUCUUCGGGUUGUGAGGUUAAGCGACUAAGCGUACACGGUGGAUGCCCUGGCAGUCAGAGGCGAUGAAGGACGUGCUAAUCUGCGAAAAGCGUCGGUAAGGUGAUAUGAACCGUUAUAACCGGCGAUGUCCGAAUGGGGAAACCCAGUGCAAUUCGUUGCACUAUCGUUAACUGAAUACAUAGGUUAACGAGGCGAACCGGGGGAACUGAAACAUCUAAGUACCCCGAGGAAAAGAAAUCAACCGAGAUUCCCCCAGUAGCGGCGAGCGAACGGGGAGCAGCCCAGAGUCUGAAUCAGCUUGUGUGUUAGUGGAACGGUCUGGAAAGUCCGACGGUACAGGGUGAUAGUCCCGUACACCAAAAUGCACAGGCUGUGAACUCGAAGAGUAGGGCGGGACACGUGGUAUCCUGUCUGAAUAUGGGGGGACCAUCCUCCAAGGCUAAAUACUCCUGACUGACCGAUAGUGAACCAGUACCGUGAGGGAAAGGCGAAAAGAACCCCGGCGAGGGGAGUGAAAAAGAACCUGAAACCGUGUACGUACAAGCAGUGGGAGCACCUUCGGGUGUGACUGCGUACCUUUUGUAUAAUGGGUCAGCGACUUAUAUUCUGUAGCAAGGUUAACCGUAUAGGGGAGCCGCAGGGAAACCGAGUCUUAACUGGGCGUUAAGUUGCAGGGUAUAGACCCGAAACCCGGUGAUCUAGCCAUGGGCAGGUUGAAGGUUGGGUAACACUAACUGGAGGACCGAACCGACUAAUGUUGAAAAAUUAGCGGAUGACUUGUGGCUGGGGGUGAAAGGCCAAUCAAACCGGGAGAUAGCUGGUUCUCCCCGAAAGCUAUUUAGGUAGCGCCUCGUGAACUCAUCUUCGGGGGUAGAGCACUGUUUCGGCUAGGGGGUCAUCCCGACUUACCAACCCGAUGCAAACUACGAAUACCGAAGAAUGUUAUCACGGGAGACACACGGCGGGUGCUAACGUCCGUCGUGAAGAGGGAAACAACCCAGACCGCCAGCUAAGGUCCCAAAGUCAUGGUUAAGUGGGAAACGAUGUGGGAAGGCACAGACAGCCAGGAUGUUGGCUUAGAAGCAGCCAUCAUUUAAAGAAAGCGUAAUAGCUCACUGGUCGAGUCGGCCUGCGCGGAAGAUGUAACGGGGCUAAACCAUGCACCGAAGCUGCGGCAGCGACACUAUGUGUUGUUGGGUAGGGGAGCGUUCUGUAAGCCUGCGAAGGUGUGCUGUGAGGCAUGCUGGAGGUAUCAGAAGUGCGAAUGCUGACAUAAGUAACGAUAAAGCGGGUGAAAAGCCCGCUCGCCGGAAGACCAAGGGUUCCUGUCCAACGUUAAUCGGGGCAGGGUGAGUCGACCCCUAAGGCGAGGCCGAAAGGCGUAGUCGAUGGGAAACAGGUUAAUAUUCCUGUACUUGGUGUUACUGCGAAGGGGGGACGGAGAAGGCUAUGUUAGCCGGGCGACGGUUGUCCCGGUUUAAGCAUGUAGGCUGAUUGUCCAGGCAAAUCCGGAUAAUCAAGGCUGAGGUGUGAUGACGAGGCACUACGGUGCUGAAGUAACAAAUGCCCUGCUUCCAGGAAAAGCCUCUAAGCAUCAGGUAACAUCAAAUCGUACCCCAAACCGACACAGGUGGUCAGGUAGAGAAUACCAAGGCGCUUGAGAGAACUCGGGUGAAGGAACUAGGCAAAAUGGUGCCGUAACUUCGGGAGAAGGCACGCUGGUGUGUAGGUGAAGUCCCUGCGGAUGGAGCUGAGACCAGUCGAAGAUACCAGCUGGCUGCAACUGUUUAUUAAAAACACAGCACUGUGCAAACACGAAAGUGGACGUAUACGGUGUGACGCCUGCCCGGUGCCGGAAGGUUAAUUGAUGGGGUUAUCCGUAAGGAGAAGCUCUUGAUCGAAGCCCCGGUAAACGGCGGCCGUAACUAUAACGGUCCUAAGGUAGCGAAAUUCCUUGUCGGGUAAGUUCCGACCUGCACGAAUGGCGUAAUGAUGGCCAGGCUGUCUCCACCCGAGACUCAGUGAAAUUGAACUCGCUGUGAAGAUGCAGUGUACCCGCGGCAAGACGGAAAGACCCCGUGAACCUUUACUAUAGCUUGACACUGAACAUUGAGCCUUGAUGUGUAGGAUAGGUGGGAGGCUUUGAAGCGUGGACGCCAGUCUGCGUGGAGCCAACCUUGAAAUACCACCCUUUAAUGUUUGAUGUUCUAACGUUGGCCCCUGACCGGGGUUGCGGACAGUGUCUGGUGGGUAGUUUGACUGGGGCGGUCUCCUCCCAAAGCGUAACGGAGGAGCACGAAGGUUAGCUAAUCCUGGUCGGACAUCAGGAGGUUAGUGCAAUGGCAUAAGCUAGCUUGACUGCGAGCGUGACGGCGCGAGCAGGUGCGAAAGCAGGUCAUAGUGAUCCGGUGGUUCUGAAUGGAAGGGCCAUCGCUCAACGGAUAAAAGGUACUCCGGGGAUAACAGGCUGAUACCGCCCAAGAGUUCAUAUCGACGGCGGUGUUUGGCACCUCGAUGUCGGCUCAUCACAUCCUGGGGCUGAAGUAGGUCCCAAGGGUAUGGCUGUUCGCCAUUUAAAGUGGUACGCGAGCUGGGUUUAGAACGUCGUGAGACAGUUCGGUCCCUAUCUGCCGUGGGCGCUGGAGAAGUUGAGGGGGGGCUGCUCCUAGUACGAGAGGACCGGAGUGGACGCAUCACUGGUGUUCGGGUUGUCAUGCCAAUGGCACUGCCCGGUAGCUAAAUGCGGAAGAGAUAAGUGCUGAAAGCAUCUAAGCACGAAACUUGCCCCGAGAUGAGUUCUCCCUGAGACUUUAAGUCUCCUGAAGGAACGUUAAAGACGAUGACGUUGAUAGGCCGGGUGUGUAAGCGCAGCGAUGCGUUGAGCUAACCGGUACUAAUGAACCGUGAGGCUUAACCUU
rnacentral:rRNA from 1 species